rnacentral:misc_RNA from 1 species
UGAAAUGAUUGUGUUCACAGU